rnacentral:rRNA from 1 species
UACGGAGGGGGCGAGCGUUGUUCGGAGUUACUGGGCGUAAAGCGCACGUAGGCGGUGCGGUAAGUCAGGGGUUAAAGGCUGCAGCUCAACUGCAGUAAGGCCUUUGAUACUAUCGUGCUAGAGUGUCAGAGAGGAUGGCGGAAUUCCCGGUGUAGCGGUGAAAUGCGUAGAUAUCGUGAGGAACACCAGUAGCGAAGGCGGCCAUCUGGCUGAUAACUGACGCUGAGGUGCGAGAGCGUGGGGAGCAAACAGG